rnacentral:rRNA from 1 species
UACGGAGGGUGCAAGCGUUGUCCGGAUUUAUUGGGUUUAAAGGGUGCGUAGGCGGCCCUGUAAGUCUGCUGUCAAAGAGCAAAGCUCAACUUUGUAAAGGCAGUGGAAACUACACGGCUAGAGUGCGUUCGGGGCAGAGGGAAUUCCUGGUGUAGCGGUGAAAUGCGUAGAGAUCAGGAAGAACACCGGUGGCGAAGGCGGGUCUCUGGGCAAUAACUGACGCUGAGGAGCGAAAGCGUAGGGAGCGAACAGG